GACGAACGCUGGCGGCGUGCUUAACACAUGCAAGUCGAACGGAAAGGCUCUGCUUUUGUGGGGUGCUCGAGUGGCGAACGGGUGAGUAACACGUGAGUAACCUGCCCUUGACUUUGGGAUAACUUCAGGAAACUGGGGCUAAUACCGGAUAGGAGCUCCUGCUGCAUGGUGGGGGUUGGAAAGUUUCGGCGGUUGGGGAUGGACUCGCGGCUUAUCAGCUUGUUGGUGGGGUAGUGGCUUACCAAGGCUUCGACGGGUAGCCGGCCUGAGAAGGUGACCGGCCACAUUGGGACUGAGAUACGGCCCAGACUCCUACGGGAGGCAGCAGUGGGGAAUAUUGCACACUGGGCGGAAGCCUGAUGCAGAAACGCCGCGUGCGGGAUGAAGGCCUUCGGGUUGUGAACCGCUUUCGCCUGUGACGAAGCGUGAGUGACGGUAAUGGGUAAAGAAGCACCGGCUAACUACGUG
rnacentral:rRNA from 1 species